CCUACGGGUGGCUGCAGUGGGGGAUAUUGCACAAUGGGGGAACCCUGAUGCAGCGACGCCGCGUGGGUGAAGGAGCGUUUCGGCGCGUAAAGCCCUAUCGGCAGGGAAGAAGAUGACGGUACCGGACCAAGAAGCCCCGGCUAACUACGUGCCAGAAGCCGCGGUAAUACGUAGGGGGCCCGCGUUAUCCGGAUUUACUGGGUGUAAAGGGGGCGCAGACGGCAAUGCAAGCCAGUAGUGAAAGCCCGCGGCCCAACUCCGGCACUGCUCCUGGAACUGCAUGGCUGGAGUACAGGAGGGGCAGGCGGAAUUCGUAGUGUAGCGGUGAAAUGCGUAGAUAUUAGGAGGAACACCGGUGGCGAAGGCAGCCUGCCGGACUGUGACUGACGUUGAGGCCCGAAGGCGUGGGGAGCGAACAGGAUUAGAUACCCCAGUAGUC
rnacentral:rRNA from 1 species